rnacentral:rRNA from 1 species
UACGUAGGUGGCAAGCGUUGUCCGGAUUUACUGGGUGUAAAGGGCGUGUAGCCGGGCUGACAAGUCAGAUGUGAAAUCCGGGGGCUCAACCCCCGAACUGCAUUUGAAACUGUUGGUCUUGAGUAUCGGAGAGGCAGGCGGAAUUCCUAGUGUAGCGGUGAAAUGCGUAGAUAUUAGGAGGAACACCAGUGGCGAAGGCGGCCUGCUGGGCGACAACUGACGGUGAGGCGCGAAAGCGUGGGAAGCAAACAGG